UACGGAGGAUCCAAGCGUUAUCCGGAUUUAUUGGGUUUAAAGGGUGCGUAGGCGGACUAGUAAGUCAGUGGUGAAAGCCUGUCGCUUAACGACAGAACUGCCAUUGAUACUGCUAAUCUUGAGUAUAAUUGAAGUGGGCGGAAUGUGUCGUGUAGCGGUGAAAUGCUUAGAUAUGACACAGAACACCGAUUGCGAAGGCAGCUCACUAAACUAUAACUGACGCUGAGGCACGAAAGCGUGGGGAUCGAACAGG
rnacentral:rRNA from 1 species